GUAGUUUCGAGGACUGUAGACAGAAACUUUUGCUGCGACCAGAAAAGUGAAGGAGCACAGAGAGUGGCUAUAAAAGGAGGGCAUUUGUCCACCCAAGCAUGCCCUCAGUCCUCAGUCCUCAUGAGGCCUUGGAUGGCCGGCAGCCUGCGGCGGCUCAGAGUGUUCACUGUCAAAUCUUCACUGUUUCUCUCCUUGGGAUAAAGUCUUUGCUCCAUUCA